rnacentral:rRNA from 1 species
AGUGAACGCUGGCGGCAGGCCUAAUACAUGCAAGUCGAACGGCAGCACAGCAGAGCUUGCUCUGUGGGUGGCGAGUGGCGGACGGGUGAGGAAUACAUGGGAAUCUGCCCAGUCGUGGGGGAUAACGUAGGGAAACUUACGCUAAUACCGCAUGCGCCCUUCGGGGGAAAGCCGGGGACCUUCGGGCCUGGCGCGAUUGGAUGAGCCCAUGUCGGAUUAGCUAGUUGGCGGGGUAAAGGCCCACCAAGGCGACGAUCCGUAGCUGGUCUGAGAGGAUGAUCAGCCACACUGGAACUGAGACACGGUCCAGACUCCUACGGGAGGCAGCAGUAGGGAAUAUUGGACAAUGGGCGCAAGCCUGAUCCAGCCAUGCCGCGUGAGUGAAGAAGGCCCUCGGGUUGUAAAGCUCUUUUGUCCGGAAAGAAAAGCGCCGGGUUAAUACCCUGGUGUCCUGACGGUACCGGAAGAAUAAGCACCGGCUAACUUCGUGCCAGCAGCCG